rnacentral:rRNA from 1 species
AUUGAACGCUGGCGGCAUGCCUUACACAUGCAAGUCGAACGGUAACAGGUUAAGCUGACGAGUGGCGAACGGGCGAGUAAUAUAUCGGAACGUGCCCAGUCGUGGGGGAUAACUGCUCGAAGGAGCAGCUAAUACCGCAUACGACCUGAGGGUGAAAGCGGGGGAUCGCAAGACCUCGCGCGAUUGGAGCGGCCGAUAUCAGAUUAGGUAGUUGGUGGGGUAAAGGCCCACCAAGCCAACGAUCUGUAGCUGGUCUGAGAGGACGACCAGCCACACUGGGACUGAGACACGGCCCAGACUCCGACGGGAGGCAGCAGUGGGGAAUUUUGGACAAUGGGCGCAAGCCUGAUCCAGCCAAGCCGCGUGCGGGAAGAAGGCCUUCGGGUUGUAAACCGCUUUUGUCAGGGAAGAAAAGGCUUCUGCUAAUACCGGAGGCUCAUGACGGUACCUGAAGAAUAAGCACCGGCUAACUACGUGCCAGCCGCCGCGGUAACAC